GACGAACGCUGGCGGCGUGCCUAAUACAUGCAAGUCGAACGAGAGCGACCGGUGCUUGCACUGGUCAAUCUAGUGGCGAACGGGUGAGUAACACGUGGGUGACCUGCUCAUCAGAGGGGGAUAACAUCCGGAAACGGAUGCUAAAACCGCAUAGGUCUUCGAGCCGCAUGGCUUGAAGAGGAAAAGAGGCGCAAGCUUCUGCUGAUGGAUGGACCCGCGGUGCAUUAGCUAGUUGGUGAGGUAACGGCUCACCAAGGCCGUGAUGCAUAGCCGACCUGAGAGGGUGAUCGGCCACAUUGGGACUGAGACACGGCCCAAACUCCUACGGGAGGCAGCAGUAGGGAAUCUUCCGCAAUGGACGCAAGUCUGACGGAGCAACGCCGCGUGAGUGAAGAAGGUUUUCGGAUCGUAAAACUCUGUUGUUAGAGAAGAACAAGUGCUAGAGUAACUGUUAGCGCCUUGACGGUAUCUAACCAGAAAGCCACGGCUAACUACGUG
rnacentral:rRNA from 1 species